rnacentral:rRNA from 1 species
UACGUAGGGUGCAAGCGUUAAUCGGAAUUACUGGGCGUAAAGCGUGCGCAGGCGGCUAUGCAAGACAGAUGUGAAAUCCCCGGGCUUAACCUGGGAACUGCAUUUGUGACUGCAUGGCUAGAGUACGGGUAGAGGGGGAUGGAAUUCCGCGUGUAGCAGUGAAAUGCGUAGAUAUGCGGAGGAACACCGAUGGCGAAGGCAAUCCCCUGGACCUGUACUGACGCUCAUGCACGAAAGGCGUGGGGAGCAAACAGG